GAUCCCCCCACUGCAAAUUAUUUCAAUAUUUACAUGGGGACAUUUUAUUUCAAAAUAAUAAAAGAAUUACAGUAAAUACAUUAUAAAGCACUAUAGUAACAAUUAUUUUAUCCUUUUUUAUUGGGAAAGGUUGAUGAUUGCUGCUCUACAUUUUAAUGAGAAUUCCUCAAGGUUGCAUGACAUAACGAAGGAGGGGGACCAACAAUUUAAAAUCAGCUUCCCGAAGUUCAAGUAUUCGUAGGAAGCCUGUUGAUCCAACAAUUACCCAUCAGUCCUGAUGAAGGAGACUUAUUUGGUUUUUCAAGGGUCAUCAGAACCAUUACCAUGCUCAUUGCCAGCUCAACCACCUCCACUGUGCAGUGAAUUUUUCCAUCCUGAUAAAGAAGAAGCAGUGCUACAUUUUACAUCGAGGUUCAGUCGGAAGGAGACAUCCGUGUGAAUGUGAACAAAACGUAAUACUAGCUAUUUGGACAUUCUAGCAAAGCAGAUAAAAAAUAUGUUGGUCAUACAGAUGUGCUCUAUUUUAAUCUUGUUUAAAAAUGUUAAAUCAUUGUGAAACACUUUUAUCUUUGGUUUUGUUUAAAUUUGAACUAAAGUCAUAUAGAGUAGUAGGUUGUGAAAACAAAUUUUGUUAUUUUUUACAAAUAAAAAAAGACUGGGAACAACCAUGAUAUAGGGUCUGACCGUUGGGUAACAAUCUGUUUGGUCUUGCAUGCAACAGUGUAUUUUUGCAAAUAAUUUAUAGAAUGAAAUAUUAGCAUAGUAUAUGUAGUAUUAGCUUUAUAGUAUAUAUAAUAGUUGUAAGAGUUAAAAAAUGGGAACAUGAAAGCAGGGUCCUCGUCCCGUUCCUGGGUGCGGACACAUUUUAUUUGAAAUAUUGUUUGUGUAGCUGAUGCUUUCUAGAAAAUUGAUGUAUUAUUUUUGGGCCAUUUCUGUUAGAAUAUUGUGCUUGAAUUUUUUUGUAUGCAUCAUGUAUGAAUCGUACAUUUGUUUUAAAAAAGUUGCUUCAACUAAAUCAUACCAUCACUCAGGUGCAUUGAAUCCUUGAUACUCCUCAGAGGCAAAGGAAUUCCGUCACAACACAUGAGGGUAGAGGGACUCGCACCUGUGCCCUAGGUAUCCUUUGCACCAUCAAACAAAUUGCCUGUGUGUUAUGUAUCUGUUAUGCCUGUAAUUCCGGGAAAUGUUUGGAAUUAUUCACUAAUGAUAAACUAGCAAUCGGACCCAAUGGUCAUGUGAAUUUUGUAUUGAUUAAAUCAAUAAAAAAAUGGACUUGCUCUUCAAUUGUUGCCCUCAUUUCUCCAUACUGGGUAUUGGUAUUAUGCCGUCUCGAGCUCAUGCACAUCUAAACACACUGAUGAAAACCCAGGGCGUUCAGUAAAGCAGGCCAGUUCCUUGUUGAAUGACUCCCCUCUUCUCAUCAACCCUUGGCAAUUCGGUGUAGCAUACACUUUCAUUGGCAGCUGACAUAUGGGAAUAUAAUCCACAUUGACACCUAAAAUGAUUUGUAAACCAUGUGAAUUUGUGAAAGAAUAGAGAACUCAAUAAUGGGGAAAAGAUAAGACAAUUCUACUCUAGAUGAUAAUUUUUAAAAAUUCUUAGAAAAAUUGUAAGUACAGAUAUAACAGUAUAAAGGGGGUGUCACAUGAGAGGAUAGAAAAAUCAAUGUUAUUUUUCAGCAAUUUCCCAAUGAAGUAAUGAGCGAAAAUACACGACAGGAACAAAUAAUUGUGUCUGUAAUAAUAGUAGGUCUAUUGAUAAUUGAGGGUAUAUACCAUACCACUCCCUAAUUACUAAGGGGUGGUAUGGUACACACCAGUGCGACCACUAACAUUGUUAUUACAGACACAAUGACAGAUUCCUGUGAAUACGACGCGGACAGGCGUAAUAUGGUGAUUAGACAUCUGUAAUUUUAUCAUUAAAGUAAUUAAGAAUGAUGUACAGUUGAAAAUGAUUGAUCAAUUUCGUAUUUCCCAAAAUUUAUUUUAUAAACAAACAGUCUAACGGUGCCUUACCAUUCCGUGCUUCCGAGGCAAAGUUCAAGUUGUUCACGUUCAGCAUUCCCCCCAUUUAACUCGUCGAAAUAAUCGGAAUCCAUUGCAGCUGACUCUUAUUCGUAAGGUCAUUGGUAAGGGACGAUGUCCUGUACGUCCUCGUUACGAUAAUUCUAAAAGGAAGACGCUGCAAAUGAUAUGUGGAGGUCGAUUUCGUCCACAGAAACGGAGGUAUCGCUCGCAUUUGCCAUACUGGCCUGUUUGAGACUGAUGGGUUGUGACGUCACACGUCAUUAUUGCUAAAUAUAGUAAAACCGGAAGUUCAGCUGAUUGGUUUCGGGCAGGUGCAAAAAUAGCUAACUUUGAUGGGGAAUAUCUCGGUAUUGAAUGCACGCACGAUCAUAAUUUUUCAUUCUUAUAUUUUCAAAUGUAUUUCUGAACCAAUUUACCAUUUUUGCACCCAUGACUUCCGGGGCACUUUAAGAAACGGCGGAUGUGAUCAGUCCUUAGAUAAGUGACCGCUACUUGUUACAAAAUGGUGACAGCGCAGUGACUCUGAUGUUUGGUGGACCUACUUCAGUUAGAGUCUCUUCGGAGCUCUGGGUACGGAAGUGGUUUCGUACUGUGACGACGUUAGGUUGUCGUCGGUAAGGGUGGAUGCAGUUUGUGAAGAGGUGCCAAACAUUCUGAGUUACCUCACGCUAAGUUUCUGUACGAAGCUUCCCUGAGCGGGGUGAAGUGUUGCAGACAGUAUAGACGAAACUUAUAUUGCCUCGCUCGAAAGCUAGCUUUUCUAGUGAUGUAAUAGAUUAUCUCUUUCUUGAUCACGCAAAGUUAAGUAACGGCGAGCGUGAUCAACACUUAACUGGGUGACCGCUACAUGUUAUAGCACUUAGAAGUUUACAUAUCAAAAUUGUAUUUACACUUCAAAGAUCUACAUCAACACUUAGAUUUCAUAAUGAAAAAUAUCAUUUUUCAUUGUAUAUGAGUGUUUCUUGUUUAACAUCCCAUUCGAGAAUUCCUCAUACAUAUAGGGACAUCAACAGUUGUAAGUGAUAAGGUGAAGUGCAACAAAUUUUGAAAUGUAUAAGACACCCUAAGUCGUUGACGUAAUUCUUAUUCAUCGCACUAAUGGUUAAGGUCAUCCUAUAGGAGAGAUUACCAAACGCACGGACGUGUAACUAAGGGCGUCUGUGGAGUACCUUUUUAAUAGGGUAAAUAGUUCAAUGUUCUUAUAACACCCCUGCCAAUCAUAUCCAUAGUUUGAAACCUGACAUAUGAGCAGAAUCAUCACACCACUGCCAUAUUGCUAUCACACUACGGGAGAUAACAAACAGCCUAACAACCACUAACCCUCGUAGAAGUUAAGGUAAGUGUAGAAUAUAGUUCAAAUAACACUAUACAUCAUGAGAGUUGAACCUUUCUCCGUUCAAUUGGAUCUCGGGUGGCCCGAGAUCUAACAUGAGUACGAGAUGAAGUACCCCCAGAGGCGGUUUACCCAUAAUUGAAAAGAUGUACUAAUGCUUAAGUGUUUUAUGGUUGACCAAAAGUAAGAGCGAAAAUAUUCGGAAUUGAGAGAAAUAUCAAAUUUAAAAUAGAAAGAAUUUGAUUAAUUGUCGGGAUGAAAAAUUAUCGCACAAAAUAGAGAACAGACUUAAGGAAUUACUGUGGUAGGGGUAUGUUUGAAACGAAUAUGCUAUCAUAAAGUACAAUUAUGACCUAUAAAAGAAACGACACCCUCUAUAUUUUUUGUGGGUUAUACUAGGGCUUGGAAGGAUUUUUAUUUUCAAAUGUUUGCGGGUAUUUCUGUAACUUCAAUAUAGAUAAUUAGUGGGUACGCAGAAGGUUUGAAUUGAAUUAUAUGGGUAAUAAACCGGACUCUGUUUCUAUCCAAAUUACUCGUAACUUUCACUUCGAAUACCGAAUGCAUGGCUAAGGAAAAUUAAUUACCUAUUAUAAAUAGUCUUAAGCUUGAGAAUGGAACUUGGAACAUCCCGUCUGCCAUAAGUGUGUGCAUAUCAAUUAAUGAAUAUGAUAUAGUAUAAAGAUGAGCAAAUUUUAAA